rnacentral:lncRNA from 1 species
ACGGAUAAGCCUUAAAACCAUACUUUUUUUUUUGGUACCGGGCUCCUGCGCUUGCCAGCCAGGUGGCAGAACCACUGAGCUAAAUCCCUGACCCUUGAUCAUACUCUUAAGUGCAAUAAACUGGACACACAUUUAAAUACCACAUUGCUUCUCUGGGGUAAGAAACUGAAUGUGGAAAUAAGGACUGAGCUGUACAAUGGAGGUUGGGAAAUGGAAAGAAAGUGUUCAGAUGGGAGAGGGAACGAGGGAGGAGGGAGGGAGGAAGGAAGGAAGGGACAAGAAGAAAGUGAAAAGUAGAAGGAAACAUGAAAACAAAGCUUUUGUACAUAGGGAGGGGAAAGGGCUGAGGGGGAUAAGAUAAAAUUAAAUUAAAUUUAAAAAGAAAGAGCUGAUGACGCCAAAAAGGAGAAGAGAAGAACAAGAUAGUGAAGAGUGAAGGGGCUGGGUGUGGUGGCGCACACCUGUGAUCCCAGCACUCAGCAGGCUGAGGCAGGAGGAUCCCUAUGAGCUUGAGCUACAGAGUGAGUUCAAGGCCAGCCUGAACUACACAGCCAGACCCUGUCACAACCCACACAGAGAAUGAGUGACAGCCAGCAGGAAAGGAGGGGAGUACUGGACACCAGCUGGUGGCGUCACCCAAAGCUGGGCCCUUCCUGCAGGAGCCUGGCCCCACCACAAGGCACUCAGCCCACACUGGCUGACAGAUCAAAGGGGGAACACAGUGGGAGGCCGCCCUAACCACGGGCCACACCUCCCUCCAGGACUCUGUCAGCUCCUCCACCAGGCCAGGCGCCAGAGGCGGUGUGGCCAGUAUAGUCACAGGCUGGGCCUGGCCCAUGGCUGGCGGGGUUGGCCCCCUAGGUACCUCCCACUGCCAGCCAGGGCGCCAGGCUACUGUGAUCUCCGGGAAAGAUCUGAACACAGCUCUGUUCUCCAAACAAAAUGCAGCACUGCGCAGCCCUCAAGAGAGGCAACCCAGCAAGACCUAUCACGUAAAGGUAAGGCCAUGCAGCCCUUUCCCCAAGUGUGCCAAGGAAGCGACAAGACAGCUGUCCCGUGUGGCAGAGCUGGCUACGAGCAGCACUUUGUCCUUCGCAGGAAACAUCAAAUCCUGCCACACAGCCCAGGAGCUGAGGGAGCAACAAGACCCUUCCUGA